GAAUGAAGUUAGCCCCUCAAAAAAAUUUUUUUUUCCUGUUUUCUACUUAUUUUCUAUUAAUUCGUUUGUUCAUCAUUUGUUCUUGAUUGUUCAUUGUUAAUAAUUGUUUGUUCCCCAUUUAUUUAUUUUAAAAAAAAUAUUAAAAAUAUAUCUAAAAGUUAGCCCCUCGAUUGCAAUUUUUAAUAUUUUUUCGUCCUUAAUUACUCGUAAAUAUUCAUUUUCGAUUGUUCUUAUAUAAAAUACGUUUGUUCUUUUUCGAAAUCACUCAUUUUUUGUUUAAUUAAUUGUAUUAGUUGAAUAAAUGUAUACAAAAUAUGUGUACUGCGCAUGCCAUAAGUGUAUAAUCUAUGGCGCAUGCGUCAACUAUAAUGCCUAAACUUUCUACGCGGUUUUAAUCGUGAAAAAAAAACAAUUAUAAAUCCUGAAGGAUCAAUUAAUUGGUAUACAGUUUAAUUAAAAAAAUUAAAAACAAAAUAAAUAAAAUAAUGUGCAUUCGCGUAAAGUUAGACCAAAUACAUUUUUUCCAUCCUCCUAUAUACCUAUCGCUAUGAAGGUAUAAAAAAGAUAGGUUAAGAGGUCACAUAGGUAAUAUAAACAAAUAAGUAAAUAUGUUCAUUAUUUAUCUUUCAAGAGAUAAUGUAGGUAUACAUUAUAAUAACAUUUUGACACAGUCGAAAUUAUAUUCCUAACAUUAGUAAAAUAACAUUUUAAUAUUUUUUUUAUAGGUUAUGUAUUGAAAUUGUUGGAAAAUUAUUUCAUGUUUUAGCUGGAAAACUACAUGGAGAAUUAUAUACAAUACAAGAUAAUGAGCUCCAUUAAAUGAAUUCGAAUGAAACCAAACUGUUUACCAUCCAAAUUCGAUUGUCGGGCAGAUAGAAAACGAAAAUUCACUCAUAGUGAACCUCGGCCUGCAUUUGUGAAACGGCAAAGACUCACUAUUAUCAAGGAAAUUGAAGAGACAACUAAAAAUGAGAUGUGUCGUAUUAUUAUACCUUUGCCAUCUUGUAGUCAAGAUGUCCAGCCACUUGAAAAUAGGUGUAGUAAUGACAAAGCUAUCCAAGUAGCUCCAGCACAGGAACACAAAGGCAAGGCAAGUGUGUAUUGCCACAUCACCCCUUAAUAUAUCUGAAGCAAGUAUAAGUAAACAAUCAGAACCAGCAAAAAAAAAACUGUUGUUCCUGAGGACAAAUUUGACAGUGAUGAGUCAAAUGCACCAGCAACAGAAGGAUCAACUGUUGACUAUGAGUUAUCUCUCUAUAUGUCCACUCCAUCAAAGACUUGUGCACUUCAGACUAUAGUUCUCAAGAAGACUAAAAAGUUGAAAAAAUGAAUGUGUUAACAACUUUAUCUAAAGUGAAAAAUAAACAACGUUUAUAUAUUGGUCUUCCACAAGAAUUAUGUUUCAUAAUAGGCUUGAUUGAGAAACAUACAAAUGUUUCUGAACAAAAUAUUAUAUUAUGUCUGAUGAGAAUAACAUUAAAUAGAACAUUCUCUCAAUUGGCUGAUGAUUUCGAUUUAUCUGUAAGUCAAGCAAGCAAUAUAUUUUUCAACGAACUCCCAGAAAUUGCAAAUGUAAUAUCACCCCUUGUUAGACUAUAAAAAAAACAAUACAAUAAAUAUAUAUGCAGGAUAAAUAUAUAUAUAAUUGAUGUCAACUUGGUGGAAAAUAGAAAGUUUUUAGAUAGUUUGCCACCUACAAAACUCUUUAAUUAAAUAAGUAAUCCUUACUUAUAAAUAGGAAGUUUUGUAAGUAUUUUCACUCUUCAUUCAAAAACUACUGAACAGAUUUUAAUAAGACUCAUGCUGGUCUUCUAUGGCUAGCAACUCAUUAUUAUUUUGAUUCUGUUUUCCACAAAUGUGCUAAAUAUGGGCUUAUAUAUAUGAAAAGGAAUAAAUAUUAAUGUUAUGUAACCUUUGUACCUGUAUGUUAAGAAUAAUUUUUAAUAAAACAUAAUUUAAAUUGAAA